rnacentral:rRNA from 1 species
GCGAGUGAAGCGGGAAGAGCUCAAAUUUGAAAUCUGGCAGUCUUCGAUUGUCCGAGUUGUAAUCUAUAGAGGCGUUUUCCGUGCCGGACCGUGUCCAAGUCUCCUGGAAAGGAGUAUCAAAGAGGGUGAUAAUCCCGUACUUAACACGACCACCGGUGCUCUGUGAUACGUCUUCUACGAGUCGAGUUGUUUGGGAAUGCAGCUCAAAAUGGGUGGUGAAUUCCAUCUAAAGCUAAAUAUUGGCGAGAGACCGAUAGCGAACAAGUACCGUGAGGGAAAGAUGAAAAGCACUUUGGAAAGAGAGUUAAACAGUACGUGAAAUUGUUGAAAGGGAAACGAUUGAAGUCAGUCGUGUUCUUUGGAUUCAGCCAGUUCUGCUGGUCUACUUCCUUGGAACGGGUCAACAUCAGUUUUGUCCGGUGGAUAAAGGUAGUAGGAAUGUGACUUCUCCGGAAGUGUUAUAGCCUAUUAUCACAUACACUGGGUGAGACUGAGGACUGCAGCUCGCCUUUAUGGCCGGCCUUCGGGCACGUUCGAGCUUAGGAUGUUGACAUAAUGGCUUUAAACGACCC